rnacentral:rRNA from 1 species
ACGCUCGACACCUACGGGAGCAGCAGUGAGGAAUAUUGGUCAAUGGGCGCAGGCCUGAACCAGCCAAGUAGCGUGAAGGAUGACUGCCCUAUGGGUUGUAAACUUCUUUUAUAUGGGAAUAAAGUUUUCCACGUGUGGAAUUUUGUAUGUACCAUAUGAAUAAGGAUCGGCUAACUCCGUGUCAGCAGCCGCGGUAAUCUGAGGCGGGCUGGCAAGGC